rnacentral:lncRNA from 1 species
UAUCCUCCCGUUACCAAAUACCAUGCCAUGCAGAUCAGAUGCGCAUCCAACCAGGGAAAACAAGGAAUCAAAUGAACAGUGGUGUCUACUCGUACCUCAACCUGAUAGCCAGAGCGUCAGUGUAGCUUGUACCAUCAUGACACGGAACGAGCUACUCCUCAUAGAGUACUAGCUACGCACGCAGACACGGCAGGGGGGGUCGAGUCGAGGAGAGAAUCUCUCACGCAUCUCGUCGUCGGCUGGCCUCCCAUGAUCGGUCGUCAUGUCCGGGAGAAGCGAAGCAGCCGCAGCGAGGUAAAGGCCGGCCCGGCCGGGCAAGGACUCGGAGCCCGGGUUUCUAGGAGUCAGUCAAUCCAUCGGCACACCACCACGCCACCAGCACCAGGGACUGGACUACUGGAGCCGAGCCGCUAGCUAGCUAGCCCCGC